GCGGACAUAGCUCAGUUGGUUAGAGUGGCAGUCUCAUAAUCUGCAGGUCGAGGGUUCGAGCCCCUCUGUCCGCA